AGAGUUUGAUCCUGGCUCAGGACGAACGCUGGCGGCGUGCCUAACACAUGCAAGUCGAACGGAGUUCUUGUGGAAGUACCUUCGGGUGCGGAAGCUUGGACUUAGUGGCGAACGGGUGAGUAACGCGUGAGCAACCUGCCUUUUCAGAGGGGGACAACGGUUGGAAACGACCGCUAAUACCGCAUAACGCAUUUUGACCGCAUGAUCGAGAUGCCAAAGAUUCUAUCGCUGAAAGAUGGGCUCGCGUCUGAUUAGAUAGUUGGUGGGGUAACGGCCUACCAAGUCGACGAUCAGUAGCCGGACUGAGAGGUUGAACGGCCACAUUUGGGACUGAGAUACGGCCCAGACUCCUACGGGAGGCAGCAGUGGGGAUAUUGCGCAAUGGGGAAACCCUGACGCAGCAACGCCGCGUGGAGGAUGACGGUUUCGGAUUGUAAACUCCUUUAUAAGGGACGAACUAAGACGGUACCUUAUGAAUAAGCUCCGGCUAACUACGUGCC
rnacentral:rRNA from 1 species